rnacentral:rRNA from 1 species
UCCAGACUCCUACGGGAGGCAGCAGUGAGGAAUAUUGGUCAAUGGCCGAGAGGCUGAACCAGCCAAGUCGCGUGAGGGAGGACGGCCCUACGGGUUGUAAACCUCUUUUGUCAGGGAGCAAGGGACAGGUCGUGACCUGUUGUGAGAGUACCUGAAGAAACAGCAUCGGCUAACUCCGUGCCAGCAGCCGCGGUAAUACGGAGGAUGCGAGCGUUAUCCGGAUUUAUUGGGUUUAAAGGGUGCGCAGGCGGAGGCACAAGUCAGCGGUAAAAUCGCGGGGCUCACCCCCGCUCCGCCGUUGAAACUGUGUCCCUUGAGUGCGCGAAGGGUAGGCGGAAUGCGUGGUGUAGCGGUGAAAUGCAUAGAUAUCACGCAGAACUCCGAUCGCGAAGGCAGCCUACCGGCGCGCUACUGACGCUCAUGCACGAAAGCGUGGGUAUCGAACAGGAUUAGAUACCCUAGUAA